rnacentral:rRNA from 1 species
UACGGGGGGGGCAAGCGUUGUUCGGAAUUACUGGGCGUAAAGGGUUUGUAGGUGGCUUGUUAAGUCAGACGUGAAAUCCCUCAGCUUAACUGGGGAACUGCGUCUGAUACUGGCGAGCUUGAGUGCAGGAGAGGAACGCGGAAUUCCAGGUGUAGCGGUGAAAUGCGUAGAUAUCUGGAGGAAUACCGGUGGCGAAGGCGGCCUUCUGGACCAUAACUGACGCUGAUCCGCGAAAGCUAGGGGAGCAAACGGG